rnacentral:miRNA from 1 species
GCAGAGGGGGGACAGGCAGCACACAGCUUCUCCUCCUCUCUGCUCUCUCCUCUCUUCUAAUAACUCUUGCGAGACCCACGGAGCGUUGCCAUGGUAACCGGGUCUCGCGAGAGUUAUUAGAAGAGAGAAGAGAGGAGGAGAAGCAGUGUGCUGCCUGGGCCCCCUCU